rnacentral:lncRNA from 1 species
AGAAGAAAAAUCUUAAAACGCAAACAAAACGAAUCAAACCACACACCACACAGAUUACCAUACUACUUCUCUCAGUAUAAUGGAAAUGUAAAUAUAAUAUUUUCCUAUAAACUGCUAUAACAAACAAAACUAAUGGAAAGUGAGCAUCUAGGUUUCUACAAAUUAAUACUUGAUUAACAAUGUUCUUAUUUUAAACUUCCAAUAGGAAACAUACAUUACAUUAUUGUAGAUUUACACAUAGUUAAAGAUAUAAUAUUUGAGUAUUUCAGUAGACAUCUUAAACAGUGUGAAUUUUUAACCGGAUUUUUGUGUCAAAAUUGUCGGUUAUUGAUUUGGGGAUGUACGACGGGCGGGUGGCAACCAAAUGUUGUCCGUGCAUUUACUCAUGAAGCGUUCAACCAAACCUUUUAAAAUUUUAAUAUGUUGUUACUGACAACAAAAUGGAGGUCAAGUUCAAUAAUAACGAUUUUGACUUUUACCGUUCAGCAGUUACGGUUCUUGAAAGUUUAAAAAAUGUUGUGUCCGUGCAUUUACUCAUGAACCGUUCAACCAAACCUUUUAAAAUUUUAAUAUGUUGUUACUGACAACAUAACGAAGGUCAAGUUCAAUAAUGACGAUUUUUACUUUUACCGUUCAGGAGUUACGGUUCUUGAAAGUUUAAAAAAUGUCGUGUCCGUGCAUUUACUCAUGAACCAGUAAACCAAACCUUUUAAAAUUUUAAUAUGUUAUUACUGACAACAUAACGAAGGUCAAGUUCAAUAAUGACGAUUUUUACUUUUACGUUCAGGAGUUACGGUUCUUGAAAGUUUAAAAAAUGUCGUGUCCGUGCAUUUACUCAUGAACCAGUAAACCAAACCUUUUAAAAUUUUAAUAUGUUGUUACUGACAACAAAAUGGAGGUCCAGUUCAAUAAUUACGAUUUUGACUUUUACCGUUCAGGAGUGACGGUUCUUGGAAGUUUAAAAAAUGUUGUGUCCGUGCAUUUACUCAUGAACCGUUCAACCAAACCUUUUAAAAUUUCCUAUUAGGAGUUUUGGUCCUUGUAAUAUUGAUAAAUGCCAGAACACAAAUAAAUGUUAAAGAAUCUGGUUUACUGUCAUUUUGACAGCUCUUGUUUUUUUGUAAUAUUGAGAUUUGUUUUUACAUAAAACAUAACAUUCCACUUUCAUUUGAGCCUGUUGUUUUGAUGUAAACAAGCCUAAGCUUGUUAUGGCCUAUUGAAUACAAGAUUAGUUUUGAUCACUCAAUCAUAGAGUGGGUUCUGUCAGUGUUACAUCUGUUCUAUUCAUUAGCUAAGGUGUUGUAUUGCAUAAAAACUUGCACUCAUAAAUCAUCUUCUGUCAAAGAUGCAGAACACUCUACAGGGGGCCUCUACUUUAUCAUAACUGAAAUGUUAUUUAAAACUUGGGAAAACAAUUGUAAAGUCUUUAAAUAUUUUGUAGAUUUUGGAAUGAUGGAAAAAGUAGUAAAGGAGCUGUUGGCAUAGACGACAAUAAUGUGAAAGAGUAAUUAACUUGAAAGACGAUAUUGAACAGAAACCACUUAAAUAUUUAAUUUAGAUGG